UACGUAGGGUGCAAGCGUUAAUCGGAAUUACUGGGCGUAAAGCGUGCGCAGGCGGUUUUGUAAGUCUGGCGUGAAAUCCCCGGGCUCAACCUGGGAAUUGCGAUGGAGACUGCAAGGCUAGAGUCUGGCAGAGGGGGGUAGAAUUCCACGUGUAGCAGUGAAAUGCGUAGAGAUGUGGAGGAACACCGAUGGCGAAGGCAGCCCCCUGGGUCAAGAUUGACGCUCAUGCACGAAAGCGUGGGGAGCAAACAGG
rnacentral:rRNA from 1 species